UACAGAGGGUGCGAGCGUUAAUCGGAAUUACUGGGCGUAAAGCGUGCGCAGACGGUCAUGUAAGUCGGGUGUGAAAGCCCCGGGCUCAACCUGGGAAUUGCAUUCGAGACUGUGUGGCUAGGGUGCGGAAGAGGGAAGCGGAAUUUCCGGUGUAGCGGUGAAAUGCGUAGAUAUCGAGAGGAACACCAGUGGCGAAGGCGAGUCCCUGGACACUUCCUGACACUGAGGCACGAAAGCUAGGGGGAGCAAACAGG
rnacentral:rRNA from 1 species